ensembl:lncRNA
UUCCUUUCACAUAACUUUCACAGAACUUUAUUUCCUUUCACAUAAGCACUGAAUAUCGUUAACGCCCUCAGAAGGCAGACAGAUGAUAAAAGGAAUGAAAAAUGGUAGAAGUGUAACGAAACAGUCUGGCAGCCUCUAUUCCUACCAUACAUUUUCUAGUUCACUGACUCAUUUAUUCAAGGAAAGUACAUUUGUAUUUGUUUUGUUUAAUCUGAAAUUCACCUGUGAUUGCCAGAAAUAACAACUGAGAGAAAGACUAUGUCCCAAUGGGCACCCUAUUCACUAUGUCGUGCACUAUAUAGGGAUUAGGGUGCCAUUUGGGACUCACAAGAGAGACUCGUCCAAAGCUAAAGUGAUGAAACACCAGCUUGGGUAGCAUGCUGUGUUUUGUUCAGAUGAUUGUUUACACACCCCAGAUUCACCAUGACCCAUUAGCCUCAGGUGAGAGCACAGAGAUUGUUAAAGGAACAAUAUUGUAUCUGUCUCAUUAUGCUGUCUGUGAGAGCAUGACCCCAUCUCCAUUUUUCAUUUUCUUAUUCUACUACUUCUAUGAGUUGGUAAACAACCUGAAAGGGUGCAGUGUGUUGUUUGAACAGGUAAAACAAUUAUGGAAUGUCUGCACACGAGUAUAAUUCAUUGGCUGAUCCCUCCUGAUGACCUAGAUAGAAGUACGUGAUCCUUCCUUAACCCAUAGGAUGUCCCACUCAGUUGACUACUUCAAAAUGGUGAACGUCCUCAAUGGUGCUGCCCAUGCUUAAACAAGCUUUGGGGCACUAGAGUCCUCUAACGGUGAGAGUUAGAUCACCUAGCUGAUUGGCUGCUUCACCUUUGACUGGGAAAGUUCAAGAGGGGUCAAGUGCCUUGUUGCAAACAGGAUGCCUGUAUUGACACUGGAAGUCUAUGGGGAAUUGUCAGAGGCGGUCUCAUAUUGUUACAUCACCAACAUUUUGAGAAUAAAGGCGCUAACAUGGCGUCCAUUCUAAAACCUGGCCAAACUCUUAAUAUACUGCAUGGCUCUACUUCUCCCUGCUCAUAACCUGGCAACACAUGGCGCUGGAAUAGAACUGAAUGAAACAAUCGGAAACAGUUUAAUCCUAUAUGGUUCCUGAUAUAGUUACUGUAUAUUGUACUUCCUGAAUAAUCUUGUUAGUGAUGAUGCAAAUAUUUAAUUUGUUUUCAUCUCAAAUCAUCUUGUUGGCUUAGUUCUUCCUUCCCUGUGGUUUUGAUGUCCCAAUACAAAUCAAAUCAAAUUUUAUUGGUCACAUACACAUUUAGCAGAUGUUAUUGCGGGUGUAGUGAAAUGCUUGCAUUCCUAGCUCCAACAGUGCAGUAGUAUUUAAAAACAAUUCACAACAAUAAUGUCAUUCAGAAAUGUAUUAAUAUUAGAUUGAGCAAUGUCGGAGUGGGUUUGACUAAAAUAUAGUAGAAUAGAAUACAGUAUAUAAAUACGAGAUGAGUAAAGCAGUAGGUAAACAUUAUAUAAACAUUAUUAAACGAACUAGUGUUCCAUUAUAAAAGUGGCCAGUGAUUCCAAGUCGAUGUAUAUAGGGCAGCAGCCUCUAAGGUGCAGGGUUGCAUAACCGGAUGGAAGCCGGCUAGUGAUGGCUAUUUAACAGUCUGAUGGCCUUGGGAUAGAAGCUGUUUUUCAGUCUCUCGGCCCCAGCUUUGAUGCACCUGUACUGACCUCGCCUUCUGGAUGAUAGCAGAGUGAACAGGCCGUGGCUCGGGUGGUUGAUGUCAUUGAUGUACACGCCGAGGAACUUGAAGCUUUCCACUUCCUCCACUGAGCUUCCUGUCGAUGUGGUUAGGGGCGUGUUCCAUUUGCUAUUUCCUGUUUUGUUGACAUUGAGUGAGAGGUUAUUUUCCUGCCACCACUCUCCUAGGGCCCUCACCUCCUCCCUGUAGGGUGUCGCGUCUUUUGUUGGUAAUCAGACCUACUACUUUUGUGCCAUCAGCAAACUUGAUUGAGUUGGAAGCGUGCGUGGCCACGAAGUCAUGGGUGAACAGGGAGUACAGGAAAGGGCUGAGCAAGCACCCUUGUGGGGCUUCUGUGCUGAGGAUCAGCGAAGUGGAGGUGUUGUUCCUAUCUUCACCGCCUGGGGGUGCCCCAUCAGGUAGUGCAGGACCCAGUUGCACAGGGCGGGGUCGAGACCCAGGAUCACAAGUUUAAUGAUGGGUUUGGAGGGUACUAUGGUGUUGAAUGCUGAGCUGUAGUCAAGGAACAGCAGUACCGGAGUGCCAAGUCUUGGACAAAAAGGCUUCUCAACAGUUUUUACCCCCAAGCCAUAAAACUCCUGAACAUCUAACCAAAUGGUUACCCGGACUACUUGCAUUGUGUACCCCCCCAACCCCUCUUUUACACUGCUGCUACUCUCUGUUUAUCUUAUAUGCAUAGUCACUUUAACUAUACAUUCAUGUACAUACUACCUCAAUAAGCCUGACAAACAGGUGUCUGUAUAUAACCUUGCUACUCUUUUUCAAAUGUCUUUUUACUGUUGUUUUAUUUCUUUACUUACCUACACACACACACACCUUUUUUCACACCAUUGGUUAGAGCCUGUAAGUAAGCAUUUCACUGUAAGGUCUACACCUGUUGUAUUUGGCGUACGUGACAAAUAAACUUUGAUUUGAUUUUGUCCAGAUGGGAUAGUGCAGUGUGCAGUGUGAUGGCGAUUGCAUCGUCUGUGGACCUAAUGGGGCGGUAAGCAAAUUGAAGUGGGCCUAGGGUGACAGGUAGGGUGGAGGUGAUAUGAUCCUUGACUAGUCUCUCAAAGCACUUCAUGAUGACAGAAGUGAGUGCUAUUUGGCAAUAGUCAUUUAGUUCAGUUAGCUUAGUUUUCUUGGGAACAGGAACAAUGGUGGCCAUCUUGAAAAUUGUGAGGACAACAGACUCGGAUAGACAGCGAUUGAUUUAAAUACAGUUGAAGUCGGAAGUUUACAUACACCUUAGCCAAAUUGCUGGGAUAAUUACUUGUGUCAUGCACAAAAUAGAUUUCCUAACCGACUUGCCAAAACUAUAGUUUGUUAACAAGAAAUUUGUGGAGUGGUUGAAAAACAAGUUAAUGACUCCAACCUAAGUGUAUGAAAACUUCCGACUUCAACUAUGUCCGUAAACACACCAGCCGUCUGGUCUGCACAUGCUUUGAGGAUGUGGAUAGGGAAGCCAUCUGGGUCAGCAAAGGUUAACAUGUUUAAAUCUUUUACUCACGUCAGCCACGGAGAAGGGGGGGUGCAGUCCUUGUUAGCGGCUGCGACGGUGACACUGUAUUAUCCUCAAAACGAGCAAAGAAGGUGUUUAGUUUGUCUGGAAGCGUAACGUCGGUGUCCGUGAUGUGGCUGGAUUUUAUGUAGUCUGUGGUUUCCUGUAGACCCUGCCACAUACGUCUCGUGUCUAAACCAUUGAAUUGCGACUCUACCUUGUCCCUGUAAUGGCAUUUUGCUUGCCUUGCGGAGGGAAUAGCUACACUGUUUAUAUUCAGACAUAUUCCCAGACCUCUCUCCAUGGUCAAAUGCGGUGGAUCGUGCUUUCAAUUCUGCGCGAGUGCCACCAUCCAUCCACGGUUUAUGGUUAGGGUAGGUUCGCCAUGAAACACUAUCAGAAAGACUCACCCUCUGUUAAUAGAUAGUGAGAAAGUUCUAAAAAGAAAACGUCACUCAUCAGUGACUUGAUAAGCUGACUUAGCUAACGUGGCCUGCCUGCUCAGUGUGCUUGCUAGCUACUGCUAUCUAGCUUAAUUGACAAACACAGAGACGGAACAUCGCUAGCUAUCUAGCUAGUGAUUUUGAGCACUGUUAAACAGCGUAUAGCAGCUUGUGCUUUACUUACGAUAGUUUGACAGCUUGUUGAUAAAGUUGUAGACACGUUCUCAGAAAUCAGUCCUGAGCGCAGUCUGCAGCAGCUGACUAGACGAUACUGUCUGCAGUGCACUGACUUGUUUUCAUGUAUGUUUUGUAACAUGAGAAAUACUGCACCCAACACCUUAUUUAGAGGUAAAACUGUGUGACUAAGACUUCCUCUGCAAAAAAAUAUAUAUAUAUAUAUAUCACACACAUACAUACAGUUGAAGUCAGAAGUUUACAUAUACCUGAAGCAAAUACAUUUAAACUCAGUUUUUCACAAUUCCUGACAUUUAAUCCAAGCAAACAUUCCCUGUCUUAGGUCAGUUAGGAUCACCACUUUAUUUUAAGAAUGUGAAAUGUCAGAAUAAUAAUAGAGAGUGACUUAUUUCAGCUUUUAUUUCUUUCAUCACAUUUCAUCCAAGUGGGUCAGAAAUUUACAUGCACUCAAUUGGUAUUUAGUAGCAUUGCCUAUGAAUUGUUUAACUUGGGUCAAAUGUUUUGGGUAGCCUACCACAAUAAAUUGGGUGAAUUUUGGCCCAUUCCUCCUGACAGAGCUGGUGUAACUGAGUCAGGUUUGUAGGCCUCCUCGCUCGCAAACACUUUUUCAGUUCUGCCCACAAAUGUUCUAUGGGAUUGAGGUCAGGGCUUUGUGAUGGCCACUCCAAUACCUUGACUUUGUUGUCCUAAAGCCAUUUUGCCACAACUUUGGAAGUAUACUUGGGGUCAUUGUCCAUUUGGAAAACCCAUUUGCAACCAAGCUUUAACUUCCUGACUGAUGUCUUGAGAUGUUGCUUCAACAUAUCCACAUAAUUUUCCUUUCUCAUGAAGCCAUCCAUUUUGUGAAGUGCUGCAGUCCCUCCUGCAGCAAAGCACCACAACAAGAUGCUGCCACCCCCGUGCUUCACGGUUGGGAUGGUGUUCUUCGGCUUGCAAGCCUCCCCCUUUUCCUCCAAACAUAACGAUGGUCAUUAUGGCCAAACAGUUCUAUUUUAGUUUCAUCAGACCAGAGGACAUUUCAAAAAGUGCCAUAUUUGUCCCCAUGUGCAGUUUCAAAUCGUAGUCUGGCUUUUUUAUGUCGGUUUUGUCAAUAUAGGACUUGUUUUACUGUGGAUAUAAAUACUUUUGUACCGGUUUCCUCCAGCAUCACCACAAGGUCCUUUGCUGUUGUUCUGGGAUUGAUUUGCACUUUUUGCACCAAAGUACAUUCAUCUCUAGGAGACAGAACGCGUCUCCUUCCUGAGUUGUAUGACGGCUGCGUGGUCCCAUGGUGUUCAUACUUGAAUACUAUUGUUUGUACAGAUGAAGGUGGUACCUUCAGGCGUUGGAAAUUCCUCCCAAGGAUGAACCAGACUUGUGGAGGACUACAAUUAUUUUCUGAGUUCUUGGCUGAUUUCUUUGGUUUGACAUCAUGGGAAAAUCAAAGAGGAACUGAGUUUGAAAGUAGGCCUUGAAUUACAUCCACAGGUACACCUCAAAUUGACCCAAAUGAUGCCAAAUAGCCUAUCAGAAGCUUCUAAAGCCAUGACAUAAUUUUCUGGAAUUUUCCAAGCUGUUUAAAUGCACAGUCAACUUAGUGUAUGUAAACUUCUGACCCACUGGAAUUGUGAUACAGUGAAUUAUAAGUUAAAUAAUCUGUCUGUAAACAAUUGCUGGAAAAAUGACUUGUGUCUUGCACAAAGUAGAUGUCCUAACCGACUUACCAAAACUAUAGUUUGUUAACAAGAAAUUUGUGGAGUGGUUGAAAACCGAUUUUUAAUGACUCCAACCUAAGUAUAUGUAAACUUCCGACUUCAACUGUAUGUAUACAACCAUCCCAGAUCUACAUAUUUUGCUGUGAAGAGAAUCAUUAGAUCACUUGUUUUGGUACUACCCAUAUGUAUCUUGUUUUUGGUUGCAAGUCCAGGAAUGGCUGAAAAACUGAAACAUUCACCAGGAGCUAACUCUGCAAAUAGCACUGCUGGGUGAUUUGAAGUCAUUGUCAUUCAAUCAAUAAUAUAAUAAUACUCAGCAAAGGUGUUUAUCUUUCAAUCUGUAGAAACUAUGAGAAAAGAAAGGUUCAGCACCUCCCGAGUGGCGCAGCGGUCUAAGGCAUCACUACAGACCCGGGUUCGAUCCCAGUCUGUGUCGCAGCCGGCUGCGCCCGGGAGACCAAUGAGGUGGCGCACAAUUGGCCUAGCGUCGUCUGAGUUAGGGGAGGGUUUGGCCAGCCGUGAUGUCCUAGUCCCAUCACUAGACACCUGUGGCAGGCCGGGUGCACGCACGCUGACUUCAGUCACCAGUUGUACGCUGUUCCCUCUGACACAUUGGUGCAGCUGGCUUCUGGGUUAAGCGGGCAGUUUGUCAAGAAGCAGUGCGGCUUGCCAGGGCCGUGUUUUGUAGGACGCAUGGCUCUCGACCUUUGCCUUUCCCGAGUCUGUUGAAGCGAUGGGACAAGACUGUAACUACCAAUUGGAUAUCACGAAAAAGGGGUAAAAAAAUAUAUAAUUUUAGGUUCAGCACAGUAGAAAAAUAUAUGGCAGAUAGAAAUCUAAACUGGAUGGUAUUCAGAGAUAGAUAGGAGGGGUUGAGUAGCUCAAGGCGGGGACUAAAAACCAACAAAAGAUAACUAAUGUAAAAUAUACUGUCAGUGAAAUGUAUGUUUAAUGUAUGUUUAGUAUGUUUAAGUAUUAUUUUCCAUUAGUUUACUCCAAUUACGGGAGGGGUGCUUGAGGGGGGAAAUAAUAACAUAAAAAUAUAAAGAUAUGGGGGAUUGCAGACAAUUACAUUGACAGAAGCCAAUCUAUCUGCAAUAUUAAAGCUGAUGUUUAAAAAAAUAUAUAUUAUAAAAAAUAAACCACUGCACUAAAUUACUAUCGCCCCAUAGCAAUCACAUCUGUCAUUAUUGUCAGUGCUUUGAAAGGCUAAUCAAGGGCCAUUACCUCCACCAUACCUGACACCCAAGAGGAACAUUAUGUGAGAAUACUAUUCAUCGACGACAGCUCAGCUUUUAACACCAUAGUGCGCUAAGCUAAGGCCCUUGGGUCUGAACUCCUCCCUGUGCAACUGGUUCCUAGAAUUCCUGACGAGCCGACCCCAGGUGGUGAGGGUAGGCAACAACACCUCCGCCACACUGAUCCUCAACAUGGGGGGCCCCCCCAUGUGUGUGGCUCAGCCACCUCCUAUACUCCCUGUUCACACACAACUCUAACUCAAUCAUCAAGUUUGCUGACAACACAACAGUGGUAGGCCUGAUUACCAACAACAACAAGACAUCCUACAGGGAGGAGGUUAGAGCCCUCUGGAGUGGUGCCAGAAAAAUAACCUCUCCCUCAAUGUCAACAAAACAAAUAAGCUUAUCUUGGACUACAGUAGACAGAAGAGGGAGGAUGCCACCAACCUCAUUGACAGGGCCACAAUGGAUAGGGUCAAAACCUCAAUGGAUAAGGUCAAUAGCUUCAAGUUCGUCGUGUUGCACAUCACUGAGCACCUAAGACCCUCACAAACUACACCAUUAAGAGCAUUCUGUCGGGCUGCAUCACUGCCUGGUAUGGCAACUGCUCCGCCCUCAACCGCAUAGCUCUCCAGGGGCCACGCUGCCUGACCUCCAGGACAUUUACCACACUCGGUGUCAAAGGAAGUCUAAGAAGAUCAUCAAGGACCUCAGUCACAUCGACACACACACGCACAGCCAACGCUGCUGUAUCAUGUUAUAGAGACAUUGAACCAACCACUGGUCACUUCCUGUUUCACACUGUGUCUUUAAAUACUGUAUCCUCAACAUAGCUUAUUCUAAUAUUUCUACAUCUGCACAUUGUAUUUUAGUUACACUGAUUAUAUGCACCACAUAUUUAUUUAUAUACUUGAUUCUUGACAUAGUUCACUAUAUAUUGUGUUUACUGCUGUACAUUCUUAGUUGAUCUGGUGUAAAUUCCCCCGGUGUACAUAUUGUAUGUAUAGAUUCCAUUUUGAUACUGCUACAUUGCUAUUUGGGUUAACUGGAUUCGUCCUUCCAUUCUUUUUUGUAUUUUUCUUUACAAUGUAUUUCUUUACAUUGUAAUUGCUUGAGAUUUGACUACAUUGCUAGGAGUUAGCAACAUAAGCAUUUCGCUGCCCAGCUAUUACACCUGCUAAACUGUGUACGUGACCAAUACACUUUUAUUUGAUUUACUCCCCAACACUGAUGGUUAGCUACUGACUUGAUCACAGGUGUAUGUAUGAUGAUGUUUUGUAUUGACUAAGGUCUUAUUGUACAUUUCUAGAUACACUUGUACAAACAUAUCUAUAGGAAGUAGAACAUUGCAUUGCAUUUCAUGUUGCAUGAAAGAUCAGUCUGUCCGUCCACUAGACGAUGACUACAGAGAAAACUUGAGUAAAUAUGGAUGGAAUACAACUCCACUGGACAGAGGCUGAACAGAGGUUGCUUAACACUCAGUCCCUGGUCCAUUCAACUCCACUGGACACAGAGGCUGAACAUCUCGAGGUUGCUUAACACUCAGUCCCUGGUCCAUUCAACUCCACUGGACAGAGGCUGAA